ACGCACCUUGCGCUCCUUGGUAUUCCGAGGAGCAUGCCUGUUUGAGUGUCUUGAAGUCAUCAACCCCUCCCGUUUCUUGCGGGAAUAGGGGAUUGGAGUUGGGGGCCUGCUGCCGUGAGGCGGCUCCCCUCAAAUGCAUCGGUUGGACCUGUGGGUCGAACUCGACUGGGCGUUGUACCAUCCUCGCUCGACCGAGAAGUUCCCCCUUUUGGUGUCCUCCCACGACUUGCCUGUGGAGCGGCGGUCAAUGUACUUUGAAAUUCUGACCUCAAAUCAGGUAGGACUACCCGCUGAACUUAAGCAUAUCAAUAAGCGGAGGAAAAGAAACUAACAAGGAUUCCCCUAGUAACUGCGAGUGAAGCGGGAAAAGCUCAAAUUUGAAAUCUGGCGGCUCCGUCGUCCGAGUUGUAUUCUGGAGAAGCGUCUUCCGCGC
rnacentral:rRNA from 1 species